GCAAAACUCAUCCAGACAGCAGCUGUUAGAAAUCCCCUGGUACUACAGGUCCUCCUGCAAAAACUCUCCAAUAACAGGCUACCAGACCAAUAGCCUUCUUCUGCCCAUAGUGUUUGCAUUUUGCCUGAUGCCCACAAGGUGUCUGGGGACCACAUGAGGGAAAUCAGCUUCUUCUGUUAUUCCUACUAAACAUGUUUCCUUUACCACUUUUUCACUUGCCAAGAAUAUGCUGGUGUGCUUUCACUAGCAGACAGGCAAGGCUGGGCAGCGCCUGCGCGCUGGAACCUCCUUGAGCUCCAGCCAAGUCCUCUUCUGUCGCAGCGGCAGGUCUCCCGCAGUAAAGAAGAGGUAGCAGCUAGGUCGGGCAGGACCGCAACACUUGGUGGAGCUAACUGAAGCCCAGACCUGUUUCCAGA